GAGGCUGUAGCUCAGUGGUAGAGCGCGUGAGUCGAGGAGUGAAAAGCCUGUCUAACGUAGGUUCGAUCCCGCCUAUGGGCGUCA